GGUGGGGGAAGCCCUAUGACGUCAGAGGAGUAUGCACACGGUGCUACAGAAAUUUGGGAGAACAGGACGUUUUACUGGUUGAGUUGAAGAGAGCCUGGACCCUAGGUUAAUGUGAUGAAUAAUCGUGGAUUUGGAAUCAUAGCUACCUAGGAAGGUGAGCUCAUCCACCACCUCCACAGCCGAUGUCAUUCCAGCUGUUACUGUCCUCAGGCGUAUGCUGGUCAGCGAAGGCAAUGCAGAUACUGGCAUUCAAACAAUGAAAAGGACCCUGCUGCAAGCUCUCGACAGACGCUUUGGCACUGUGGAAGAUGAACCCCUAUAUACAUUUGCCACCUUGCUGGACCGGAGAUACAAAGACAGAUACUUUACAAGUGCAGACUCUGCAAAGCAUGCAAAAGAUGCACUGUUGAAGGAACUUAAGGAAGAAGACUCGAGGAGCAGCACAGCUGGAGCGUCAGGGGCUGCAGAGCCACUAGAAAAGGCCCCUCGGAUGGAAGCAGCAGCACCAUCAUCAAGCAAGAGCAGCUUCAUGAAAGAAUUUGACCUGAUACUGGAGGAUUGUGAGGAUCCUGGUAAAGCCCUGCUGUCGAGCUGCAAGGAUUUUUUACUGAGAAAACAAUCGCUACCUCAGACAACCCAUACCAGUACUGGGGUGUCAACAAACAUCGGCUACCUGGUCUUGCUGCCUCUGCCACAAAAUACCUCUGUGCCCCCUGCACUAGUGUAGAGAGUGAGAGACUGUUUAGCACAGUUUCCGACAUCUUGGAUGAGAAGAGAAACAGACUGACCGCAGAGAGAGUACAAAUGCUUGUUACCACGAAAAAGAAUCUGCCAUUGCUGCUCUGAGCAUUCAGACCAAUCAGAGGUUAUGAGUGGUGUGCCACUAAAUGUUUACAAAUGUUUGUAUGUUUGAGCAAUUUACUUGUUUACUCUCAGGUUCAGCUGCUGUAUUUUGUUAUGUAAUAUAUUUAUAGUUACAGUAUUUAUAGUUACAGUUUGCACUAAAUAUUUACAAAUAAGUUUGAUUACAAUGUUUGAUUAGUGAUUGAAGAAUGUUUGGAGAAGUUACUUAUUCUGUUUCAGCUGCUGUAUUUUAUUUAUUUGAAUGUAUUUUAUAUAUUUAAGAUUGUUUCCAUUUUAUGGAAGACAGAUUUCAUUUUAUUUUGAAUUUGCUGCUGGUGCACAACAGUUUAUUUUUAAAUAACCAAUAAAUAAUGGUUCAUUAUA